GGCAGCCGCGGUAAUUCCAGCUCCAAUAGCGUAUAUUAAAGUUGUUGCAGUUAAAAAGCUCGUAGUUGAACUUCAGGCCUGGCUGGAUGGUCCGCCUUCUGGGUGAGUACUGUCUGUGGUCGGGUCCUACCUUCUGGCGAAGCGUCAUGGCCUUCACCGGCCGUGGCGGGGAGCCAGGACUUUUACUGUGAAAAAAUUAGAGUGUUCAAAGCAGGCACGCGCUUGAAUACAUUAGCAUGGAAUAAUGGAAUAGGACAGUGGUUCUAUUUGUUGGUUUCUAGGACCGUUGUAAUGAUUAAUAGGGAUAGUUGGGGGCAUUAGUAUUCAAUUGUCAGAGGUGAAAUUCUUGGAUUUAUUGAAGACUAACUACUGCGAAAGCAUUUGCCAAGGAUGUUUUCAUUAAUCAAGAACGAAAGUUAGGGGAUCGAAGACGAUCAGAUACCGUCGUAGUCUUAACCAUAAACUAUGCCGACUAGGAAUCGGGCGAUGUUGACAAAAUGACGCG
rnacentral:rRNA from 1 species